GGAAUUUAAGGAGGGGAGGAGGGAAGGGGUGAGAGUCUUUUAUAAGCCCAAAACUGCAUGCUGAUUUUUGUUGGGAAGGAAAGGAUUUCCCUUGCCCACUACCCAGCUUGGAAUCAGGCUCAGCCUGACUCAGAGAACUUCCAGGCACAAUCAGGCAAAACCUAGACCACCUCAGAAAAUCCAGGGGGGACCUGGGAAAAGCAUUUUCUCCUACCACAUUCGCCAGGCUCCUUCCACUAGGUCUCAGGGAAGAUGGAAAAGCAGAGCUGCUGGCCCAAAAACGGGAAGCAAUGAGGCAAGGUGUCAGCAGCCGUCAGGACCGACACAAAGGAUGGAACUGAAGACGAAAGGACCAAACCACUGUACUACACAGUAUAGUUCAGGUCGAAGAUCAACCAGUCUUGUUAAUCUGCUACAAGAGAAGAUCAAAUACAUUUUCCAAAUUGUAUUCCUCAGGAAACCAUGUAGUUUGUUCCUCGAUCUCCAGUACUUUCAAGGGUGAGAGAGCUAAAUUGCGUUUCCACAAAUCCUCAACUGUUAUAUGCUUGUCUUCUCGGUGCAGAUGGCUGUGUUUAUUAGUGGCAUCUUUAUAUUUCAUAUCUUCUCUGAGAAACUAUAGAAAAGAAAACAUUAGGUUACAAAAACUGGCUCCUAAUAAAGUAGAAAAAAAAAAUCUA